rnacentral:ncRNA from 2 species
CUACUGCGGGCCCCCGGUAGGCUGCCCGCAACCGAGCAGCGCGGAACCCGGUGCAAGUCCGGGACGGUCCCGCCACUGUGAGCGAAGCCCCCUUCGCGAGUCAGACACGCUCUGUCGGCCGGCCUGCACG